rnacentral:misc_RNA from 1 species
UUGGAAAAAUCUCCUUGGGGUGUGGGACACAAUUUGAAUCUCAAUAACUUUAAUGGCACUUAAUUGGCCUACCCUGGGGUCUCUUUCUAAAGUUGACCACAAUUUUCUCUUCUAGCUAAAAUAUCUUAGCGUUUAAUAUUUCAUCAAGCAUGGCCAUAGUUUCUUCUAUCUUAAGUAGUGCAGGUGAAAUCUUUACUAGUCUCUUCCCUUCCCUAA